UACGUAGGUCCCGAGCGUUGUCCGGAUUUAUUGGGCGUAAAGUGAGCGCAGGUGGUUUAUUAAGUCUGGUGUAAAAGGCAGUGGCUCAACCAUUGUAUGCAUUGGAAACUGGUAGACUUGAGUGCAGGAGAGGAGAGUGGAAUUCCAUGUGUAGCGGUGAAAUGCGUAGAUAUAUGGAGGAACACCGGUGGCGAAAGCGGCUCUCUGGCCUGUAACUGACACUGAGGCUCGAAGGCGUGGGGAGCAAACAGG
rnacentral:rRNA from 1 species